rnacentral:tRNA from 1 species
GCCGGGUUGAUGGAACGGGCAGACAUGAUCGACUCAAACUCGAUUGCUCGAAAGAGCGUGCGGGUUCGAAUCCCGCACCCGGCA